CUACGGGGUGCAGCAGUCGCGGAACUUUUACAAUGCACGCAAGUGUGAUAAAGCGAACCAAAGUGCUUAUCAUUUAGAUAAGCUUUUUCUCUACGUAAAAACUAGGGAGAAUAAGGACUGGGAAAGACUGGUGCUAGCCGCCGCGGUAAUACCAGCAGUUCAAGUUGCAUCCAUUUUUAUUGGGUCUAAAACAUCCGUAGCUUGGUGCUUAAGUCUCUUGUGAAAUCUCACGUCUCAAGCGUGGUGAAGUGCAGGAGAUACUGAGUACCUAGAGAUCGGUAGACGUAAGCAGUACGGGACGGGUAACGGUCAAAUGUGUUAAUCCGUCUUGGACUAACAAUCAGCGAAGGCAGCUUACGAGGACGAAUCUGACAGUGAGGGAUGAAGGCCAGGGGCGCAAAACGGAUUAGAUACCCCCGUAGUC
rnacentral:rRNA from 1 species